GAUGAACGCUGGCGGCGUGCCUAAUACAUGCAAGUAGAACGCUGGAGGAAGGAGCUUGCUCUUUCCGGAUGAGUUGCGAACGGGUGAGUAACGCGUAGGUAACCUGCCUGGUAGCGGGGGAUAACUAUUGGAAACGAUAGCUAAUACCGCAUAACAGUAGAUGUUGCAUGAUAUCUACUUAAAAGGUGCAAUUGCACCACUACCAGAUGGACCUGCGUUGUAUUAGCUAGUUGGUGAGGUAACGGCUCACCAAGGCGACGAUACAUAGCCGACCUGAGAGGGUGAUCGGCCACACUGGGACUGAGACACGGCCCAGACUCCUACGGGAGGCAGCAGUAGGGAAUCUUCGGCAAUGGACGGAAGUCUGACCGAGCAACGCCGCGUGAGUGAAGAAGGUUUUCGGAUCGUAAAGCUCUGUUGUAAGAGAAGAACGAGUGUGAGAGUGGAAAGUUCACACUGUGACGGUAUCUUACCAGAAAGGGACGGCUAACUACGUG
rnacentral:rRNA from 1 species